UCUAACACUAUUAAUAAAUGCUAGGGCAGGUGGUGGCAUGGAGAGCCUGGAGCACAACAGCUGUCUUUAAAAGCUUUCCUUGCUGUACCCUUUGGAGCCACCUCCUGGUCCCCUCAACCCCUGCCCACCUGUUAAGAGCCCGUUCGGGGCAGCACAUUAGGGGGCAAACAGCCUGGAUGCCCAGUUGCAGACACACAUCCAUGCCUGGAGGAGAAGAUUGCGUCUGAGAGCAGGAGGAGCUGCUGGAACUCUUCUUCCCAGCCUUGUUUUAAUGCUCUUGAGCACCACCUGCACAGAGAUAUACCCCACCAGCAUUAGCACAAUAAACAGGCCCUGCAGCAGCAGGGCUGUGGUUCUAGUGAAUGAGAGAAGCCUCUCUCCAGCGAGGUACAGGAGUCCAGUCUGAAUGCCCUGGUCUCCGCCUCCAUGUUUGCCACCAUGCCCAGGACUAGGGGCAGCAUGGGAUCUGCUGGCUGGGGCUGUGCUUGUCACCCCCUCCCUCCCACUUCUCUCUCCAGCCACGUUUUCAGCUCCAGCAUUAAGGCCAGUGGCUACAGUAGGUGCCAUGAUUUCAGGCAGCUCCUGGCUGGGCUGGUCCUUGGCUGGAGCUCCCUCCACCUCCAGCGCUCUCUCUGGAGGGGGCUCUUCCCAUGCUGGCUUUGGCUCGACAGCCGGUGCCGCAAGUGCUGCUAUGUCUGCGUAUGGACCAGGAGCUGAAAAAGGAGAAAGGGUCACCAGCAUCAGUCACUUUCCACUGGAAUUUCCAAACACAGAGACAACCUCACUGAAUUCAAAGGAAUUCCACCCCAAAAGCACUGCCCCCGCAAAGUCUUCCAGGCUGCAGCCACCUCACCAUGUGUCUGUGCCUCCAUGGGCUCCCGAAUCUCCUCCUGGACAAGGACAAUGUACAGAGGCAGCCCCGAUGGGAUCUAUGGUGUGGCCUGGCCAGCUAGGGCCUGCCCCGGGCUGUCCUGUGGUACCUGGGUGCGCCUUCUUACAAAGGGCCACAGGCGUCUGGGGUGAGGGAUGAGCCUUCUUCGGCAUUGUCGGAAAAGGCUCUCACUCCCUCCAUUCCUGAAGCAGCAACCUCUCGAAGUGGGGAAGCAACACGAGAACAUCUUGCUCUCUUGAGCGUCUCCCACAAAGUGAGCUGGUUACAGCGCUGACUCUAGGAUAUGGGUGCCUGGUUACCAGAGUUCUAAGUUCUGUUCGUGUGUGUCAUCAUCGAGGAAGUGAGGUCGCUUCUUUACGGUUCUGUCCCCUAGGCCCCUUCCUUCCAUAAGACCUACUCAGGACUCCACUGGGCUGCUGACUACUCACCCUCCCCUCAGGUCAUCUCCUGACCCGUACACAGUUAUGUCCACCCAGGGUCUGCUUGGACACCUGUGCCUGAUGUUCACCAGGGGCCAGAUGUCGUCCUCAGGCCUGAUGUCCACCUAGGGCCUGAUGACUGCCUUGGCCUAUGUCCCUCUGGGGGCCUUGUGUUCACCUGGGGACUGUAUCCAGCUGGGGCCUGAUGGCCUACUGGGUCUUGUUGUUCACCUAAGGCCUUGUGUCCACCUGGGGACUGGUGAUCACCUGGGGCCUGGGUGUCCACCUGAGGCCAGAGGUGCACCUAAGGCCUGAGUUUUCACCUGGGCCUGAUGAUCACCUGGGGACUGGGUGUGUGCCUUGGGUCUUUUCCCUUUUCCUGAACAGGGCUUGCAGUUUCCAAACCAGACACAAUCUCCCAGUUGGAGAAAGAAAAAGGAUCCUAGAUGAUAGUGAGACAAAUUUCAGGAAACUCCAUCCAAAUAAGUAAAUGAGAAUGAGGACAGGAUUCAUUGUAAGUAACAUUCUCAGGUGGUGUUCCAAAGUUAUCUUUUGCCUGGGUACAGUGGCUCACACCUGUAAUCCCAGCUCUUUGGGAGCCCAAGGUGGGAGGAUCACUAGAGGCUAACAGUUUGAGACCAGCUUGGGCAAUGGAGUGAGACCCCCAUUCUGAAAAAAAAAAUUAAAAAAUUUAACAGGCAUGGUGGCAUGUGCCUGCAGUCCCAGCUACUCAAGAGGCUGAGGUGGGAGGAUCGCUUGAACUCAGGAGUUGAAGGCUGCAGUGGGUGAGGAUCACAACACUGAAUUCCAGCUGAGGUGACAGAAUGAGACCCUGUCUCUCUAAAAAACAAGCAAGCAAACAAACCAAAAACCACAGACAAACCAGACCCCUCUUAGCAGAAUACUUCCAUGAGGUAAUAAAAGCUUCACAGGUCCACAAGUUGAAAGUGUACCCCCAGGAGCUGCACUAAAUGAUUUGUACCCAUCUGCACCUGAUUUAGAACGUUUAGAAGGAGCUGUUUCAGGCCUCCUCCUCCUCCCGUAAUAACUUGCAGUCUUUCCUAUGUUAUAAUAAAGCUACAUUUUCUUCUGAAAACUGGCAGGUUCUCCCUUCCUAACGCAGGCAGCCGAAGAGAGGGUGUCAGGAGCCAGAGGGUGUCAAGAGCAGCCAGGGCACACCGGCCUGCAUGGGGGCAUCCCUGGUCCAAGUCAGUGGCCAGAGCUGCAGCCUGGCUUUGUGCCCAAAGUUUUGUCUGGGUGUCAGGAAGGCCAUGCACUCACAUUUCAUCUCUUUUUGUGACUGGUCUGCUGCUGGUUGACCCUCGUUCCUCCUUUUUUGGGCAGGAAGGUGACAUCCAGGAUUCAGGAGAGCCUUCUGACUUGGGUGUGCAUGAAAGUCACCUGAGGCCCUUGACGUGCAGGAAUCCUUGCCAGCCUUGGAUUGCAAGCCCCAGGCUAUGGUAUAGCAAUGUGCAUUUUGUAGCAAGCUCCCUGCGUGAUUGGAGAGUCACAAAUGGAAAGAAAUACUAUAAUCAGUGGAGAGAAGAUGUGCACAGCUAUACAAGUGUAUGGUUCUGUGACAUACCACGAGGUGGGGGUGGACCUUUAUGACAUCUUCUCCCAGCAACCCCACAUAUUUCCCUUGCCCUCAGUGGGUCAGGAGUCUCCUGCUUGGCCUCAUCUUCGAAUCUGAAGCCUCUGAGUUCUGAAUAGUUCAGCCCCCUACUUUUUUAGAUGCCUCUGUGGCAAACCUUUGUUAUCUGACUUUUCUUUUAUUUGACAGAGCCUCGCUCUGUCGCCCAGGUUGGAGUGCAGUGGUGUGAUCUCGGCUGACUGCAAGUCCCGCCUCCUGGGUUCACGCCAUUCUCCUGCCUCAGCCUCCUGAGUAGCUGGGGACUACAGGCGCCUGCUACCACGCCCAGCUAAUUUUUUGUACUUUUAGUAGAGACGGGGUUUCACCGUGUUAGCCAGGAUUGUCUGGAUCUCCUGACCUCGUAAUCCACCCACCUGGCCUCCCAAAGUGCUAGGAUUACAGGUGUGAGCCACGGCGCCCUGAGGACUGGCAGACCCAUCUGACUUUCUUGGAGUAGAGGAGGAAGAGGAGGAAGAAGAGGUGCAGGAGGAAGACCAGGUAGGAGGGCUGGCGGGGCCACGGCACUCCCCACCAUUGACUGCCCCAGAGGGUGACUCCAGAGGGUACCUGGUGCUAGAGCCCACCUGGGGGUGGCAGGUCCCAGUGUUUUUUUGUGAGUUCCUUCAUAGAGGUUUGAAGGUUCCUGAGGACCGCGUUGUCCUCCAGGGCCCAGCUCUGAGAGAGUCGCUCCUGAAACUCCCAGACAGUGCUCCAGGAAAGCUUCAUGAGGUGCUCUAGGGAGAGGGCGGGCAUCAGGCCAGGAGGGUUCCCUGGGAGGGGACAGUGCCUGCACCCCAUUUCUACCAGGCCCACCUCCCACUGGGUGGUGUCUGGUCCUUUUUGGCCACCCUGGGGUUCAGCUGUGCACAGGAGGCUACAGUUGGGGAAGGCAGGGCAGGGAAGUGCUCACCACACUCCUGAUUUUCAUCUGGGUCAUGUGGGGGAUGGACUCAGUGUCAUCAUGACUUGCCCAGCCCAGCAGGCCAGACCCCCCAACCCGGAUGGAGCAGGCAGUGUAAGGACACUUCCCUCAGGCCAGCCGGGGUCUGUCCCACAUGUUCCCCCAAGCACCCUCGGGCACACGGGACUUACUCCUGUGUAUUUUGAAUGAUGCAUGCACCAUGGCUGUCAGUACCCGCGCGCCCUCCAAGAUGAACACAUCCCACAGUCUCAGGGUGAGCCCGAAGGAUUUCUGUGGGGACAGCAAGUGUGGGAGAACCUGGCCUUUCCAAGCUGGGGCCAGUGGCCUGAGCAGAGCCCACUGGGGUUUCAGGCCCCUGGAGUGCUGGGGACCCCUCUCCAUGGGAUGAGACCCCCAAAAGACUGAGUCAGACAAGGUCCUGUAGCUCCUUGUGAGGGACUCAUCUCAACUGCGCUGUGGCUUCUGGAAAGAGGGCUUCCUGAGGACUUGGGCUUCCCUGGGCCCUCGCAAGUCGGGUCCUGCCCCAGUCUGCCCAUGAGGCUGGGCCUGAGCCCUGGCCUCUGCCAUGGGAUGCCCCCUCUUGGGCAGAGCCUGGCUUGUGAGCCUGUCCUCCUGGGGGAGCUGGACCCCUGAGCUGAGGAAGCUGGGCACUGCAGGGCAGGAGAGUCCCAGGGCUGGGGUCUCCCUGUGCCUCCUUACCCCAUCAAGGAAACACCGGAGGAGCCUCGUCAGCAUGGAACCCUCAAUGCACAGCCCUUCCUUGCCCUGAAGGGAGGAGCACACGUGCUCAGGGCCCCCUGGGCUGCCCUGAAAUCCUCCCACUUCCAGGCCCCUCUGCAGACCUUCCUUAAUGGCACAACCCAGGGCGGUGGCCAGGGCUCCAACACCUGCCCCAUGCACGGACGCCCGGUGGACACACUUCUUUUAGCCCUGCUCAGCUGCAGCUCGGCCCUGGUCCCAGCGCCUCUGCCUUUGCCAGGGCAGGAAAAGGAAACCCAACGCUGAAUCCAUGGGGAAUCCCCAUCCCAGGUCAGGCCGUGGCUGGGACUCAGCCUCUUGCCAGCCCCAUGAGGGACUUGAGCCUCCCCUGGCCUAUGGGGGCCAGGGCGUCUGGUUAGGAGCUGAGGGUGUCAUCCACUCACCAGGUGUCUCAUGAUCUUUGGGAAGGACUUGUGCAGCACCUGCUCCUGGUGCGAUAGGAGCCUCUCGAGCCAGGCAGUAUUUGGGCUGUAGAAUACUGAGAAGCCCGCGACCCAUCACCCCAUCAGACCCCACGCCCAAAAUGUGGAGGCAUCAGCUGGAAGAGCUGGGCAGGGCAGGGGACCCCAGACCCCGAGGCCUCCCUCCCUCCCAUGUGGUGACCCCAGCAUGUAGCCUCAGCCCUGGGGAGGAGGUCCCUGGCUGGAGGCACUGCCUAGCGGCCUCCUGGGUCCAGGUGCCAGGAGGGCAGCCUGCAUUUGACACCACAAGGCAGGCGCCAGCGGGGAGAACAGGGUGGGAGCUGGGGGCUAUGUGGCUAUCUCUUGGAUGUGGGGGUCAGGCUGGGGGACAUGGGAUGGGCAGACACUUCCAUCUUGGCUUUGUUGGCCCAUCUGUAGGGAGGGAGGGUGGCUGGGAGCACAGCCAGCUGGGAGGCAGGAAGACACUCAGGGAGGUGAGUGGUGCCUGCACAAAGUUGGGGCUGGCUUCGGACGACAGAGGGCAGCCAGGGGGAGGUAUCCAUGCCCUCUGAUGUUAGGGAUGAAAGCCGUCUGACUUGAGGUGAGGGGGUUCCUGUCCAGACCCAGGCUGCUGUAGGACCUCAGCAGGGACAUCCUGGAGGCUCCAAACAAGCUGGGAUACAAGGCAGGCACCUUGCCUGGAAGUCAGGGUCACCGGCCAGGGUGGCUGUCCCCUGGCAUGGCUGUGUAAGGCCCCGGGGGCAGCUGUCCACCUACCCACAGGGAGUGCCUCUCACCAGCGAGCAACUGGGUAAGCGCCCAGAAAGCAUCUUCCUCUGGCAGACACAGGAGGAGGAUGGCAGUGAUGCGGCUCAGGUCCCUGUGGUAGCCCACCUCCUGCAAGAGCCAGAGUCACCGUGGAAAGAUGUCACCUAGGAGGACUGAGGCCACCUGGGAGGACUUAUGUCACCAGAGGUGGCACAGGUCUUUGGGGACACCUGCCUCAGGCCCCAGGGGAUUUGAGGUGCAGCCUCUGCACCCCUCCCCUGGCACUGGACAUGAGGACUGAGCAGGUCACGCACAACUCAGUUGACAAGGAGCAUGGGGGGACUCCUGCAGCAAGUGUCCAAGCUCACAUGGCCCGAAAGGGCACAGUCAGGGAUUGUUCAUGCUCCCUCCCCUGGGCCAGGCUGGGGAGGCCACUGUGCCAGGCCUGGGGCAGCACCUGUGAACUGCACCUGCCACGAGGGCAGGCAGCGGGGCGCUGACCACCACACAAAAGGUCCUGCAACAGCCCAAGGGCUGCCUGCCGGACAUAAGGGGUGGCUGGGUCCUCCAUGUGGGCAGCUCAUGCAGUCAGCUCAGCAGCUCUCCCUGCCUGGAAUGGUCUGGAAAGUGGGGGCCAAGCAGGAACAGCCACCUGGGUGACCCCCCUCCCUAUCUGCUAUGCUCCUAUGGGGUUCAGGCAAAGGGGAAAUUGGAUCCUUGCCAGGUUUCCAGUGAAGAAGAGGCUCCCCCAGGAUGCAAACUCAUUUCAUGACAAGUGCCUGGCCCAUCAGGCACCUCAGCAACUUGUCAAACCUGUCUCCUACAAGGACCAUCCUGUGUGGGACCCUGCCAAGCUCCUAGGCUUUGGGGCAACACCAGGAGGGGAAGGUCGUUUCUUCAUCUGAGACGUGGUGAUUGGGUCCAUGUGACACCAGGAGUCUGGGCUUCAGCCCUUUUCUGCCAGCAGCGAGCUGAAGUCCUGCCUACUACGUCCUGGUGGACAAACACUGAAUUUUCAAGAAGUUGCAACACCCCCAAGAGACACCCAUGCCUGUGAAUAUGGGCACAUGUCCCAGGAAUAUCGCUGCCCGGGAAUACUCACAGGGUUAUAUGCAGAAUAGGCCACGAGGAUGUCACAUAAUUCCUGCUGCCUAG
rnacentral:lncRNA from 1 species